rnacentral:lncRNA from 1 species
UGAUCCACGAAGGAAGUGACAUAGCAGGGAGACUCAUAAACAAGGUCAAGAAGGAAGUGGGCCCCCUUCUCUCUUCCUUCUGUUCUCUGCUCUGGAGUCACUAUGUGAUCCACUGGCAAGAGAGGGCACCAGCAGAAGAUAUCUUCUAUAAGGUAAGUCUUAUAAAAUAUAUAGAUUAAUGGUAAUUAAUACUGAGCUAACAGAUGAGAAAUCCUAGCCAUUGGCCAAGCAGCAUUUGUACCUAAUAUAAGUCUCUGUAUAUUAUUUGGGGCCCUAACUCGGCAGGCAGAACUCAGACAGCUGGCGGAAAGCACCCACGUGGUAGUAGGGCUCGGGUGGCUUUUGGUGGAAAGAUUUAUCGUAACACUUUAUGUCCAUAAAAAAUGAUAAUAAUCAAACAUUCUCCAGGGUUGUUUUGACAUUGUAAAUUUGACAAAAUACAAAAAUGUUUAAGGACUAAAUUUAGAGAAAUCUUUCCAAAUUUUAUUCUAUAAAGCACAGUCACUUCCUCAUUACAGAUGCUUUUAUGUUCACAGAAGAUCAGUCAAUAAAUUAUAUGCCCAGUUGGCUGCUUAGUAACCUGAUGAAGCCAAGGAGAUAUUUUCAGUCCAAAAUUAUUAUAAAAAUGUUUAGAACACUUUCUAAUACCUUGAAAUCAUUCAAUGCAAAUUAGUUUCCAGUCAUUCUGAACUUUGUGUUAGGAAGAGAUGUUUAUAUGUUCCCUUGGCUGUUUUCUCUAGGGUCACUUCAGAAAGUAAAGCCACUAAUUUAGAAAUUCUUCAUGUUUCAUUACAGUGAUAAGGAAGAAUUAAUUUAAUCUGUAUAAAUUUACCUUAAAUUUGAUCAAUAUAAACUCAAUAAAUGCAGGCCUAGAGGCUUAUGAGGAGUUGUUCAGAGGCCGUGGUGGAAGCCGUCCCACCUUGCGCUUUGAGAACAUUCCUGUGCUUGUUUGAGUCCACUAUGGUCCCCUGUUGCUAUUGGAUACAGGCUAGAGGCAUCUUCUCAUACGUUGAGAUGUUGUAUGCGUCAUGGGAAGAUAAGGUCUUGAGAGACUUGAAUGUUGAAUGCAGGUUUUUAAAAUGUGAAACAAAGGAAAUGUAAAAUGUUAAUGGAAACCUGCGUGAACAAGAGGUACCUGGACUAGCCUUAAAAAAGGAACUGAGAAAUUUUUACAAGAAAUUCUUAGUGUUACACAGUCCAAUAUCAGAACUAAUGCAAGGAAAGUUUUAGGCAGAGCUCAAACCUGGAAACUCAGAAGGGAAAGAAGUUACUGGGGAAAAUGGCAUCCAUGUCAAUACAUUAUAAGUUGAUGGAGGAAGAAAAUAAAUUACAUCUAAGCAUAUAAUUUUAUAUUGUGUUGUGUGAAGUAGGAGAAUAGAGCACAAAGGUGAGUGGGGGUGGGUCCUGAUCAAGUGUUCAAGAUUGGGGCUCACUUUCUUGUGAAUGUAUUACUGAGAUUAAAACAAAACAGACUGCCAGUUAGGUGAAGGGGCAGUGGCAUGCCCAAGGGCCCCUGGCAGAGAAGACACACUUGAGAAUGUGAAAGAAGGCACACAGCACAACACAAGCCUGCAACCAGACAGUUUUAGUAGCAAGGAGGGGGUGUUCUCAUGCCCUUUGUUGUCAAAGAAUAAGUGUGAUGAAGUUGUGAUACCACUAAUAAUGAUGUCUCCUGACCCAAGCAAUCACAGUUAUACUCCAAGCAGGCUCUCCUAGGUAUCCUAUUAGAGCAGAACUCAGGCCUGGGAAGAUAGAUAGCUCAGUUUACAAAGUGCUUGCCAUAGAAACAUGAGAACAAAGAUUCAAUUGCCAGCACCCAUGUAAAAAGGUUGGGGUGGUGGCACGUGCUUACAAUGCUGUUACUGAAGAGGCAGACAAAGCAAAUCUUGGGCUCACUAGCCAGCUAGCCUGGCCUAGGCUCCACAGAGAGAUUCUGUCUCAAAAUUCAAGGUGAAUGUUUCUUGAGGAUUGACACCUCAAGUCUCUACAUGCACAUAUACAACUCUGUGCAUACACAAGGAUUCACAUAGGCAAGCAUGCGCGCACGCGCGCGCACACACACACACACACACACACACACACACACACAGUUGUUUUGUAAAGGUAGACCUGGGAGAGAAAGGUCUGCUAUUUUCUAACACAGGCAUACUUCUCAGCAGGCAUGUGGAGGCAGGGGAAGGAGAUGUGGUGCACUUUAGGCUACCAGUUAUGCAAACUGCUCUCACCUGGAAGCCCAUUAUAAUUUUACACUUGGGAGAAUUAUCUAUCACAGAGUAGAAAAAUGCAAGGUACUUAAAGCCCUGCACAAUAGUUUGAAUGAAUAUAAACAGUUUGCAUUCGUAGGGUCUAGUGUGGCCAGUUCAUUUUGAGGUUAGCCUGCUGCAAAAGUUUCUCCAUCCCCACCCAUUUUUCUGCAGGAAGUAUAAAAGACUAGACUAGAUAAAUAAAAAUCCAUCCCUUAAAUUAAACAUGAAGAGAGGCUAGACAGUUAGGUUUGGUGACUGAGUAUAAGGAGGUUAAGAAAUGAAUUGAAAGGGACCAAACACAAACAAUGGGUUAUGAGGAAAGGCUCAAGGCAGGGAGGGUCCCCAUGGAACACAGAAGAUAUUUUCCCAGUGGUCUAAACCAGUUGUUCUCCAGGUGUGGCCAUCAAAGCAGAAAUAUCUUUAUUACCCGGGAGCUGGUUGGGGAUGAAGACUCCUAGACUCUGGUCCUAAGGCUGCAUCUGGGAAUUCCAUGCUCAUAGAAGCUUGAUAGCACUUGCAGGUCUAAAGUGUGAUUACCUCUAAGAACCAAGAAUAGGUCAAAACUUUGGUCAAUGGCCAUCUGCCAUGGGUCUGUGUGAAGAAAUGAAAACUCUAAAGUGAAAAUGUUUCCUUUCUUGUUUCUAUGUGUGCAGCACAUCCUUCAUCAGGAGGGUUACCACAGGGUUUGUAUUAAACUUCUUUCCAUUUCUGAGGGUUAAAUUGUAUCUGCCUUUGUGAGGGUACUUUGUCAUGAAAUAAUAAUGUGUAAUUAGGUGGUAGCUUCCCAAUUGAAAAUAUUUUCAAUGCCAUCAGUCAACAUAGUGUAGAACCCAUUAAAAGCAAUGAGGUAGUCAUAGGGACAACGCAGCAAUUGAAUGAAAAUGAUUAGGAAAUUUUAAUUUUUAUUCUUUUUAUAAGUAUUGCGUGGUUUGCUUGCACAAAGUCACUGUGCUCUAUUCUGAUAAAGAAUGAAUUGUGGAACCUCUUCCAUUUUUAAAUAAUGUGGUGUCUGUGUGUCCUUCUGAUCAUAGGGCAGCCAACACUGACUCUAACAGGAUAUAACUGACGAAAUCCGAGAGGGAGGGUGGAGAAGAAGAGCAUGGGUGGCUAAAGAAAUGGGAAAGAAGCUGUGUUCUUACUCAGAAAACACAACUUUCAUUAAAUUUGUAUGCACUGAUCAUCAGGAAGCAAAAUUUGAUGUCUUUAAGCCAGCAGAAUUGCAUGGUAGGUAAAGGCACUGUGGUCAAGCCUGAUGACCUGAGCUCAAUCCUUGAAACCCACAUGGUGGAAGAAAAGAACCAAGUCACACAAGCUAAUCACAUCGUUCAAGGAGGGGCAUCAUACAGGAUGUGAGCAACAAGAAGCAGGGCUCACACAACUACUCAAAGACUUUGAUAUUAUAACCUUUAUUGAAAAUAUUUUUGUUGUAAAUAUCAUAUAUUUUGUUUCCGUGUGUUAACAAGCCUACAAAUCUAUACUAUUUCAGUGUGAAGCCUAUUUACUUAUAUAAUUAUAUAUCACUAUGCCUUAGUCUACCUUUCCUUUAAAAUAAUAUUGGCACUUUCUUUGUUCUUUUCAUGAAAUAUUUUAGAUGAUUCAGAAUUUUAGUAUUUAUUUUAUUCAUCAUGUUAUCUCAUUAUUUAUUUGUGUGCAUGGGUACAUAUGUACCCAUGCCACAGCACUCACAUGUAAAUAAGAAUUUGACUUUCAGGAGUCUAUUCUUACCUUCCAUCAUGUGUGUCCUGGGAAUCAAACUCAGGUUGCUAGGUUUUGUAGCAGUCACCUUUACCCAUGAGACAUCCUCCUGAUCCUUACAUCUCAUUUUAACUAUGACACUCUAGUUAUUCUGUGUUACCCUGUGACUUCAAUAUGAAGAGUCAAUAUUUUAUAGAUCUUUUAAUACCAUUUCACAACCAGCACAAGAAAUUUAUUGCAAUAAAAUAACAUCAACACUUAAUACCUUUGACUCAGUCUAUUUCCCCAAAAAUUUUCAGAGAGUUAGAUUCUAUAAUGGCUAGAACUUUAAGGUGUCAUACAUUUUGUAUUUUUUUGAGCUCCUGUAUCUUGAAAGAUUUCUUUUCAGUUAUUCAAAUAGGUAAAAGUGGUAAAUUUUAUCCUUAAGACAUUUUGCUUUCAAAUCCAUUGAGGUAGUCCUUCAGUCUGCUCUAUAUCACAGUGUUGAAUUCUAUUAAUAUGCUAUCAUAGUUUGCAAGACCCUUUCAUUCAUCUGCAAUGAAACAUUAUGCUAUAUUAUGUAUUUGCGGAUAUAUUACUGAAUAUUAUUUGCUAAGAUUUUCCCUGUUUGUUAGGGCUGUGAAUGACAGUGAUUUGUGAUUGUCCUGCCUUAUCCUAUUUAUGUCUGGUUUGCUGUUCAUUAAAAUCAUGUCAUAAAAGUUGGGAUUGUUUACAUCUUUCCAAUUUUCUGUAUGUUUCAUGUGUUGUUUUGUUUGUUUAUUUUUGAGGGAGUUGUUUCAUUUGUUUUCUUUUUGUCUUGCUGGGUUUUUUUGUUUGUUUUGAUUUUCAUUUUGUUUUCUUUUUUAUAAAGAGAUCACGGUAACAUAAAAUUAAAUUGGAUGGGUAGGGCAGUAGGGAGGAUAUAGGAGGAGUUGGGGGGACCAGUAAAAACACAG